rnacentral:rRNA from 1 species
AUUGAACGCUGGCGGCAGGCCUAACACAUGCAAGUCGAACGAGUGGCGGACGGGUGAGUAAUGUCUUGGAAACUGCCUGAUGGAGGGGGAUAACUACUGGAAACGGUAGCUAAUCCCGCCUACCAUCUGAUGUGCCCAGAGGGGAUUAGCUAGUAGGUGGGGUAAAGGCUCACCUAGGCGACGAUCCCUAGCUGGUCUGAGAGGAUGACCAGACACACUGGAACGGAGACAAGGUCCAGACUACUACGGGAGGAAGCAGUGGGGAAUAUGGCACAAUGGGCGCAAGCCUGAUGCAGCCAUGCCGCGUGUGUGAAGAAGGCCUUCGGGUUGUAAAGCACUUUCAGCGGGGAGGCGUUACCCGCAGAAGAAGCACCGGCUAACGCCGUGCCAGAAGCCGCGGUAAUUC